rnacentral:misc_RNA from 1 species
UCCGCCUUACAGCGGCAGUCUCGCUAGAGUCCCCGGCAUUACCCGUUGGCAACUAGCGACAGGGGUUGCGCUCGUUAGAGGACUUAACCCGACACUUCACAGCACGAGCUGACGACAGCCAUGCAGCACCUGUGCUUGUUCCACCCUUGCGGGUGUCAUUCCUGUUUCCAAGAACUAAUCCAAGCAUGUCAAACCCAGGUAAGGUUCUUCGCGUUGCUUCGAAUUAAGCAACAUGCUCCACCGCUUGUGUGAGCCCCCGUCAAUUCCUUUGAGUUUUAGCCUUGCGACCGUACUCCCCAGGCGGUGCACUUAUCAAUUUCUCUACGACCAGAACUACGUCAGAGCAGCUCCAGUCUAGUGCACAUCGUUUAGGGCGUGGACUAC